UACGAAGGGGGCUAGCGUUGUUCGGAUUUACUGGGCGUAAAGCGCACGUAGGCGGAUCGUUAAGUCGGGGGGUGAAAUCCUGGAGCUCAACUCCAGAACUGCCUUCGAUACUGGCGAUCUUGAGUCCGGAAGAGGUGAGUGGAACUCCUAGUGUAGAGGUGGAAUUCGUAGAUAUUAGGAAGAACACCAGUGGCGAAGGCGGCUCACUGGUCCGGUACUGACGCUGAGGUGCGAAAGCGUGGGGAGCAAACA
rnacentral:rRNA from 1 species